GGGUCUUCAAGAGGCUUCAUAUCAGCGACUUAGAUCUCUGGCUUAGUGUACUUACCACCGGAUCGAAUUGCAAACAAACAAACAGUCACACACGCACACACACACAUACAUGGUGUGUUGUGCAAUGGGUCAACUGAGUGUUGCAUAACGCACGCGCGCUCGUGCGCGCGCACACACAUCGAGGCGGAUUGGCAACGGAACCGUGAGAGCUAGAACGUGCGACGCCCAUGACGCGUCGUGACAGAUUAUGGCAGUGUGUGUGUGUGUGCCACGUGUAGUCCGGCAGUUUGGAGCAGACUGCAAAAAACCACCAGAACCGGAACGCAGUGGGAUCGCUUUACGCCGCAAGGAAUGGAUACGCAAGGAGACCCUCGGAUUGUUGAAACGAGAUCGAAACCCCUCCCCCCCCCCCUCUCAUCCAUCGAGAAGGGAGUGCAGCGGGGCGGAACCUUUUCGUCGUGAUCGUGACUGGCGCUGCACGAACCAAACACCGCGCGAGGGUAACGCGCGAGAGUAACGCUUCACACACCGUGUGUGUGUGUGUGCGUGAGUGUGUGGCGUGUAGUAACGCAGUAACGAAGGGUAAACACACAAACACACACUCUUCCACCCUGCUGCUUGCACCACCGUGCAGGCACCCCGCAGGCUUUACUAAAAUCAGGCUGUGCGAACCGGGCCACCUUUAGUCGCUUCGUACUCCCCCAUCGUGCUUGUUCGAUGAGCUCGAUGUGGCUCGUUUCUUUGAACUAAGCGUGCGUGUGUGUGUGUGUGAAGUGUGCGUUUUUUAUCGCAAAGGAGCAAUACAACAGUCCAAACAGGAUAAUCGCAGCAGCGGAGAGGAGAGUGCGCACCGGGGGCUGUGAUCGUUUAUUCGGCUUUAGGGAUAGACGAUCGGCAGAACAAAGCGAACCGGGUGCGACAGCGUCAAACAACAGGUUAGGCUAGACGCACCAAUACAGACGCAAGAGAGUGUUUUUUAUA